AAUGAACGCUGGCGGCAGGCCUAAAACAUGCAAGUCGAACGCCCUAGCAAUAGGGAGUGGCGCACGGGUGAGUAACAUGUGGGAAUAUGCCUUUUGGUACGGAACAACGUUUGGAAACGAACGCUAAUACCGUAUGGUCCCUCCGGGGUAAAGAUUUAUCGCCAAAAGAUUAGCCCGCACUAGAUUAGCUAGUUGGUAAGGUAAUGGCUUACCAAGGCGACGAUCUAUAGCUGUUCUGAGAGGAAGAUCAGCCACACUGGGACUGAGACACGGCCCAGACUCCUACGGGAGGCAGCAGUGGGGAAUAUUGGACAAUGGGCGCAAGCCUGAUCCAGCCAUGCCGCGUGAGUGAUGAAGGCCUUCGGGUUGUAAAGCUCUUUAGCCGACGAAUAUAAUGACUGUAGUCGGAGAAAAAGCCCCGGCUAACUUCGUGCCAGCCGCCGCAGUAACAC
rnacentral:rRNA from 1 species